rnacentral:rRNA from 1 species
UGGGGGAUAUUGCACAAUGGGCGAAAGCCUGAUGCAGCGACGCCGCGUGGGGGAUGAAGGCCUUCGGGUUGUAAACUUCUUUUGCUCUGAACAAGGCAUGCCUUUGGGGUGUGUUGAGUGUAGGGGUUGAUUAGCGCCGGCUAACUACGUGCCAGCAGCCGCGGUAAUACGUAGGGCGCGAGCGUUGUCCGGAAUUAUUGGGCGUAAAGGGCUUGUAGGUGGCUGGUUGCGUCUGUCGUGAAAGCUCAUGGCUUAACUGUGGGUUUGCGGUGGGUACGGGCUGGCUUGAGUGCAGUAGGGGAGGCUGGAAUUCCUGGUGUAGCGGUGGAAUGCGGAGAUAUCAGGAGGAAUACCGGUGGCGAAGGCGGGUCUCUGGGCUGUUACUGACGCUGAGGAGCGAAAGCGUGGGGAGCGAACAGG